CUCCUCAUUUCUGUGAUUUUCCCUCCUUGUACCGUUAUUCUACGGCAUUGAACUCUUAGCUUAUAGGGACGUACAGAAAUAUCGAUAUACUACUUUUCGAUAUUUCAUUAUAUUAAAAAUGUCUAUCUAUUUAGAUAAUAACUAUCGAUCCAUAUAUAACAAGUCGAUUCAUUCCUACUUUUUCUUCAAAGAGGGGGUGAUAUAGAGAAACGAAGAUAUUCUUAUCCCCACUUAUUUCUACCCCCACUAUAUCAAUAUCCAAUCAUAUAUAGUAAAAUAUCCAAAAACGAGUUUUACUGUUCAACACCAAUCUAUACUUAGUGUAUUACAAUCUCCUCCUAGGGAAGAAGAAGAA